CAAGUGACUUAUUUCCGUCACUGUCAUUGGCGACUUCCCCAAUUAUUCGAAAGAUCAAAGGGGAAUGAAUAUUUGUGGGUGGGCCCCACUAUUAUCACCAUUCCAUUGUUGCACACGUAAGAAUUGAGGACAAGCACAUACUUUACACACAUUUCAAUGUGACAUUUGUCUGAUACACAUAGCAGAUUAAAGCAAAGAUCAAGGCAAAAAACGUGAACCAAGUAUUUGUAGUAAUUUGUAAAUGAUAAGUUAAUAAAAUCAAACGGUUGCGACAAACGUCGACACUGAUUUUAGUCACGAUUGUUCCAUUACAUACAUUUGUGAGUUUGUGGCAAUUAGUUGGACGGAAAUGCCGCGAGAAAAAUGCUGUUUUGAUGGACUUUGAUGGCAAGGACAAUUGGGAGAAAUCAGUGCAACGUUCUCGCAUCCUGAAGACAUUCCAAGGCGAAGCGCGAUUAGGAAAGACAUGACAGACGUUCGGAGAUGUCAUUGUUAUUCACUUGUGUGAAGUGUAUCGGGAAAUUGGCCAAUUGGCAAUUACAGGUCUCGCCUAAACACAAACGCACUUAAUUAAGUCGGCUUAUUUUCGCUGAGUGAAACCUCAUUACCAACAAAUGUUUUAAAUGGUUUUUACCUUCGUUAGGAUGGAUCUGAGCCUUCACACCUUUGGCACAAGAAAAGAGAUUUCAUGAUAAAUUGCAACAGUUUCAUAAGCAGAUCAAGGUCGUGUUGUUGCGUCUUAUGAUCCGGGCAUGCAAACACGGGAGAAAUGAAACGGACUUUUUACACUCCAUAUUUGCAGCAAUGAAAGUCUCAUCACGACCGCUUAAAGAAAUUUACCACCCAAGGAUGCUCUGUUGUAAUUGGAGCAAUAAAUAAUGCCACUAAAAAUCACUAAUUA